CAGCAGCCGCGGUAAAACGGAGGGGGCUAGCGUUGUUCGGAAUUACUGGGCGUAAAGCGCACGUAGGCGGCUUGGUAAGUUAGAGGUGAAAGCCCGGAGCUCAACUCCGGAAUUGCCUUUAAGACUGCCGAGCUAGCAGGUGAGAGAGGUAAGUGGAAUUCCGAGUGUAGAGGUGAAAUUCGUAGAUAUUCGGAAGAACACCAGUGGCGAAGGCGACUGACUGGACAAGUAUUGACGCUGAGGUGCGAAAGCGUGGGGAGCGAACAGGAUUAGAUACCCCAGUAGUCCCUGUCUCUUAUAA
rnacentral:rRNA from 1 species